GACGAACGCUGGCGGCGUGCCUAAUACAUGCAAGUUGAGCGCUGAAGGUUGGUACUUGUACCGACUGGAUGAGCAGCGAACGGGUGAGUAACGCGUGGGGAAUCUGCCUUUGAGCGGGGGACAACAUUUGGAAACGAAUGCUAAUACCGCAUAAAAACUUUAAACACAAGUUUUAAGUUUGAAAGAUGCAAUUGCAUCACUCAAAGAUGAUCCCGCGUUGUAUUAGCUAGUUGGUGAGGUAAAGGCUCACCAAGGCGAUGAUACAUAGCCGUCCUGAGAGGGUGAUCGGCCACAUUGGGACUGAGACACGGCCCAAACUCCUACGGGAGGCAGCAGUAGGGAAUCUUCGGCAAUGGACGAAAGUCUGACCGAGCAACGCCGCGUGAGUGAAGAAGGUUUUCGGAUCGUAAAACUCGGUUGGUAGAGAAGAACGUUGGUGAGAGUGGAAAGCUCAUCAAGUGACGGUAACUACACAGAAAGGGACGGCUAACUACGUG
rnacentral:rRNA from 1 species